rnacentral:lncRNA from 1 species
UUUUUUUUUUUUUUUUUUGUUACUUUGAUGGGUCUCAUAUUGAGGACCCAACGGAUAAGUAAUCUGAGCCAUCUAUCGGGUUGACAUGCAUCAGUGUGCAUAGAAAGGGUGCAGAUGACAGGACUGACAAGGCAAAGAUAAUAAACACAUAGAAACAACAUGCCAGGUAAAAUAUCCAGUGAAUCUAGACACUUUUUGUAAAAUAUAUUUCAAAUAAACUUAAAUAAUUCAAUCCAAGCAGAGCCUUAUUUGCAUUCCAUUUUUUUGUUAUUUGUACUUCUAUCAUUUAUUUUUUAUUUUUCUAAAAUUACCAUUUAUUUUAUCAUAUAAUCUAAUAAGUAAAAUUAUGUGAUUAAAAUGAUAAUGUAAAUAUGAUUAACAAAAGUAGGAGUGCAAAUAGCAUUUCUCUUUAUUUUUAUUUUUUGUUCAGUGCUAUUAAGUUAAAAUAUUUUGUUUUCCAAAUGGAGCAAAAUUGGAAAAUAAAAUCCAAUCUAAAAUAAAAAAUCAUAAUUAAAAUUAGCAUAACUCUUCAAAAUUCAAAUUUAGUACGAGUGUUAAAUAAUAUAAGUCUUUAAUAGCCUAAAAUGUAUUUUUAAUUAUUUUUAUUUCAUAUUUAAUUAUAAUUAUAUGUAUUUGAAUUUAAAAUUUAACUUUUACAUUUAAAUUAUGAAAUCAAAAUGUAAUAAUAUAUAUAUACUAUUAGUGUAUAUAUGUUUUACUCUAAAAAUUUAAGGUAAUUAUUCAAAAUGAAACAUGUCAAUGUAUAUAAGGGUGGUAAUGGGAUCCCCAGCCCCCCAUCCUAUUGUCAAAUAACCCCCCCUCCCCUCCCGAUCCCUCACUCCAUUUUUCCCAUAGGAAAAGAAAUCAAUCUACCAUAAUUAACAAUCUACUCAUCUACAGGACAAUUUUAUUAUUCAUUUUAUUUCAAAAUAUUCAAUAAAGACAUAUUCAAGUACUCAACCUUAGACUAAGCAAGGAUUUAGGAAAAGAUUACAAGAGAGAAGAAAUAUACUGGAGCCAAAAAGCUAGAGUCAAAUGGCUGAAGAGGGAGACAAAAAUUCCUCAUACUUUUCAUGCAACUGUAGCUGCUAGAAGGAAGAAAAACAAUAUAUCUAUACUCUAGAGAGAGGAUGGAAGCUAGUGUGAAUCUAAAGAGGAAGUGGAAGAGGCGAUAGCAGAUUAUUUCGAAAAGAUUUUCACCACAUCAAAUCUAGGGGGAGAGGUGAGAUUCUGAGGAGAAUUCCACAUACUAUUUCUAACUAGGUGAAUAGGAGACUGACUAGACCAAUAUCAGAAAUAGAGAUAAGGGAAGCAGUCUUUCCCAUGCAUCCUAAUAAGGCACCAGUACUUGAUGCUAUGUCCUAUUUCCUUUUUCAAAAAUUCUGGAGUAUUAUUAAAAAUGUUGUAUUGAGUUUUUUUCAUUCUGGUAUACUUCUGAAAGCCUUCAAUGAAACAGUUAUUUCCCUGAUCCCCAAAGUAGAACACCCAAUGUUAGUGUCUCAGUUUAGGCCUAUUAGUUUGUGCAAUGUGGCUUAUAAGAUCAUCACUAAGAUACUAGUUAAUAGACUGAAGCCUAUACUAGGACAGUGCAUAAGUCAGAAUCAAUCAGCUUCUGUACUUGGAAGGCAAAUCAUUGACAAUGUACUAAUGGCUCAUGAAUAUAUCCACUGAUAAAAUGGUAAAAGGAAUGGUAAAAAAGCUUGCAUAGCUAUCAAAUUGGACAUGUCCAAAGCUUAUGAUCGAGUAGAAUGGUGCUUCAUAGCCAAAAUCAUGAAAAAAAUGGGCUUUUGAAUGAAGUGGAUUAAGUGGAUAAUGGAAUGCAUAACUUCUGUUUCCUAUAGUGUUAAUAUAAAUAGGGAGAAAAUGGUUAUAUUAGACCCAUUAGAGAGAUAAGACAAGGGACCUCCUCUCCCCUUACCUUUUCCUAAUCUAUGUAGAAGGCUUCACUAGUCUCUUAAAUAUACCAAAGGACAGAUACCAAAUUUCUGGCAUGAAAAUUGCACAUAAAGGCCCAAAUCUAACACAUCUUUUCUUUGCUAAUGACUCUUUAAUUUUUUGUAAAGCAAGUGUGCAGGAAGCAAAAGUUGUGAUUCAGAUUGACAAAGGAAUAUGGGAGAGCAUCCAGCCAAGUGAUAAAUACAGAAAAAUCCUCAAAUUUGUUCAACAAAAAUUCAAGGGAGGAAGUGAGAUAGCAGGUCCUAUAAGUCAUGGGGGGAAUGAAACAGGUCAAAAAGAGCCAAUAUUUGGGACUACCUAUGGUGAUUGGGAGAUCAAAGAAUGCAGUGUUCAAAUACAUAAAGGAGAACAUUACAAAGAAACUAAAUAAUUGGAAGCAAAAUUGCUCAUGGUGAUUGGGAGAUCAAAGAAUGUAGUGUUCAAGUACAUAAAGGAGAACAUUACAAAGAAACUAAAUAACUGGAAGCAAAAAUUGCUCAAUCUAGUAGGAAAAGAAGUCCUACUCAAAUCACUAGCUAUGACCAUGCCAUCAUAUGCUAUGAACUGCUGCAAAUUACCAAAGGGGCUGUGUAGAGCAAUUAGUAGUGAAAUGGCAAAGUUUUGGUGGGGAGAGAGAGAAAAAUGAAGAAAGGUACACUGGGUCAACUGGGAGAAGUUAUCAAAGGUGAAAGGAAAAGGUGGAUUACGAUUUAGAGAUAUAGAAAGUUUCAAUGAUGCUAUGCUAGCAAAACAACUCUAGAGAAUUGUAUCACAACCAAAUUUGCUGGUAAGCUAAACAUUGAAAUCAAGGUAUUUUAGAGGGAAGUCAUUAUGGGAAAUGGAAUCCAAACCAUCAGACUCUUGGAUGUGGAGGAGUUUGCUCAAUUCAAGGUAUGUCCUCGAAUCAGGAAUGAGGAAAAGGAUUGGUGAUGGAAAAAAUGUUAAUAUAUGGAAGGACAGAUGGUUUCCAAAAGGAAGGGAUGGGAAAGUAAGAACAGUAAAGCUAAAAGAUAGCAUGGUGCAGAAGGUGAGUGAACUCAUAAAGAAUGGAGAAUGACAUCAAAUGUUGCUGGAAAAGACAUUGCAGGAGAGGGAUGUCAAUGAGGUAAUGACAAUUCCCAUUAGUAAAAUAGGAGGGAGAGAUGGGAUGUAUUGGGUGGGAAAUGAGAAAGAAAUUUAUAGUAUAAAAUCUGGGUAUAUAUGGGCAAAGCAGUUGAAACAGAGAAGGAGGAGAGAGGAUAAAAGAGAAUUGAAUCAGAGUAAGAACAUGCAGGGGUCCAGAGUAUGGAAGGAAUCAUGGGGCUCAACAUGAAGCACGAACUAAAACAUUUCAUAUGGAAGUGCUUAAGAGGGGUCUUACCAGUCAAUGAAGUAAUGGCGAACAAAACUGGAAAAGUCCUAUGUGUAACAGAUGUGGAGAAGCAAUGGAAAUUUUGGAACAUAUGCUAUUCCAUUGUAGAAGGGUAGCACUGAUCUGGAAAGCAGCACCGAUACAAUGGGACGGGUUAGAGGGUCUAAGAAAUUCUUUCUGGCAUUGGUGGAGAACUGAUGCAAUCAACAAAGAGAGAGGAGGGGCGUGAUCAUAUUAUUCUGACAGCAAACUUGCUAUGGUAAUUUUGGAAGGCAAGAAAUGACAGCCAAUUUAAUGAGGUGGAAAGGGACCAAUUCUUUCCGAUCAACAAAGCUUUGGGAGAAUGGAGAGAAUACCAUAAAGUAACAAAGAAUCAGGAUGGUGAAGGAAAUAAGUUGACCAGAGACAAGAUUGAAUGCAAACAUGGGAAUCCCUUGAGAAAGGAAGCAUAAAGAUCAACAUGAAUGCAACUUUCAAUAAAAAAUUGAGAAAGGCAGGAUGGGGAAUAGUUGCAAGAGAUGACAAAGGAAGGUUGAUAGCAACAUGGGCUGUCCCAAGAACAUGCAGCCGAAAUGUGAAGAUGGAAGAAGUCCUAGCGAUAAGGAAAGCCAUGGAAAUAGCCACACUGGAAAGCUGGAAAAGGGUGGAAUUUGAGUCAGAUUGUAAGGAGAUAGUGGACAAGAUAGCAAAGAAAGAUUGGAAUGAUAAAUGGUUUGGCACAUACUUGAAGACAUCUCCAUAUUGUGCUGCUCUCUUGAGAAAUGUUGUUUGUCUUUUGUUAAAAGGAAUUUCAACUAUGUAAGUCACAAUUUGGCACAAUUUGUCACUAACUUUUGUAAAGAAACCUCUUGGAGGAACUUCUUCCCUGUCUAGCCGAUGAAUAUAGCCAGGGAAGCAUCUGCGUGCGGUUGCUCAAAUUUUUGUAACUAAAGUUUAGUAGAUGUGAAAUAUAUUGCCACUUUUGAAAAAAAAAAUAUUCAACCUUAGACCAUUCAACAAAUUGUAAAUAUUAAUAACUAAAGAAUAUUAGCAACUUAUCAAUACCAUGAAAAUGAUAUAAAAACAUCCAAUUGAGAUGUAAUAGAACUAAGUCACAAUUAUAUGUUCACUUACAAUAAUACAAUUGUAAAUAACACUAAAUAAGAUUAAUAGCCGUCAAGAUGGAAACAAAACACAAUAAGUCAAAUUACAUUCCCUUAUUCAACAAACUCAAUCAAGUUGAUUUCUCAUAUUCAACAAACUAAAGACACUCAGCAAUAAGUCUAGCUUUUCUCUUCAUCAACCUAGCACAACAACUUCAGAACAUUUGCUCUUCAUCAAUCUCGAGAUGUGAUAAUUCCCUUGAUAAAGCAACCUUGACAUUUGAUGCCAAAAUAAAAGAAGAAGCUUGUCACCCAUCUAUAUUCUAUAACAAAAAAUUGGAGAAAAUCAAUUUAGAUAAAUCAAAUUUCUUUAAUACCUAUUCAGUAACACAAUGAACAUCAUGUUCUUCAUCAAACAAUGUAUUACAUGAUAUCCCUUCGGAAGUAGAACAAGUAGCUUGCACUAAAAUAAAAAAAAUAGCCACAGAUUAUGUUAGAGAUAUACAAUUAUGUUAUUAAUUAUAUUAUUAAAUAUAAAGAAUUGGAUUAUAACUAAUUUAUUAUAUUGUGUAUCUAUAUGUAUUAUAUAUACAUCUAUAAAUUUAAAUAUAUAUAAGUUUUUUGUAUGCGUGGGAUAGGCCAGGUGUAUGUUGCCCCGCCUCGCCCUAUUUCUGCCCCUACUGGGUGGGUGCCCACCCAUUGCGACCUUUAAAUGUAUAUAAGAUUUAAAUGUAAAGAUAAUUAUUCAAUGUAUAUAAGAUUUAAAUAAUUACGUGUCAAUAUAAUCAUUCAAAAUAAGAUAUAAAUGUAACGUCUCAAGACGACGCUAAAUAUAGAAAAAGGACAAUUUUUCGUUGGUGCCUAGUUAGAAAAUUAAAUUUCCUAAUCUUUAAUUUAUAAAAGACGUAACGUAAACGUAACGUUUAUACAGCGUCUAUAUUAUCUUUAUAUAAGUAAACGUAACGUCUAUAUUACACAGUCGUUUAACUUAUCUUUAUAUUAAUAAGAUAUAAACAUAAUCAUUAAACGAGAUAUAAUCGUUAAAGAUAAAAAUAGAAAAAGAAUAAUUUUUCGUUGGUGCUUGGUUGGAAAAUCAAAAUUUUAAAUCUUUAAUGGAAAAAAAAUCUUUAGUGGGAAAUUAACCCUUUAUAAUUCAAAUUUGGGACCAGUAUAAAUGCUAAUAAUCCAACUGUAUAAUGCAUGUUCAGCUGGUUCAUUUCCUAUUGUUCAUAUCCUGUUAGCCACUAGAAAAAUCUCUCUAUUUCUUUCCAUCACUCCUAUCCAAAAUACAAUCUUUUUCCCCCCGCUACCCUCGAGGUGUGAUCGGCGGCGGGGGCGGCGGCAACUUUCCGGUUAGGGUAGCUAUUAAAAAGGGUAGCCGUUUGAAUUUGUUUGUAAAGUUUUAUGAUACUUACGGGUUAAAGGUUAUGCUUUCGUGACGAUUUUUAUACCUUUUGCUAUUGGAUUUUUGGGGUGGGGGGGGGUGGUUUUGUUUUUCCUGUUUCCCUAAAUUUUGUGACGAAGACAGGAAAAAAAAAAAUCUGUGGGGAGAAUUGUGAAAUUGGGGAAUUUUUUUUGGUAUUAACAUUUUUUUAAGAUUUAUUUGUUUUCUGUGAAGCUUUUGUUUUGUUGAAUUGGAUUGUCAUUUUGGUGAAGUUGAUUAAGAAAAUGCUGCGGGUUGUCUGUUUUUAGUUGUCUUGAACGGAAUGAUAAAGGGUUUUUGCUUACUGCAUUUUGGGCAGAAUUAAAGUUUUCAUUGAUUAAGUUUAUUAGCUUAAGCAAUGGGAAAUGGAGUCUUGAUUAACAACUAUGUAUGGAAAACUAGCAAUUUUAGCUCAUUUGUUGAGUUUACGUAUAUCCCUUGAUACUUUAAUCAGUGAGCUGUGUGUUGUGUUUAAUGAUUUUGGUUGUUCACAUUUUAUAUUGGGAGAAACCUUGAGAAAAAUAGAUCGAAAUUAGGAAUCCAGAUUGUAGUUGAGUGGGUGGAAUUCUGGUCUUUUGCUAACAAAAACUGCUCAUGAAACUAAGAAAUCUGUUUGCAUUCCUUAAAUUUAUGUGGAUGUGCCUAUUUUCCACGUUGUUGACCGUGGAAGAAUUUACAGGCUGUUUAUUUUUUGGAUUGCUUUGUAUUUACCAGUUUCAUUAGUGCUAAAUUCACUUUGCUUUGAUGAACAUCAUGUUGCACUUUUUUCCUGUUUGAUUCUGAACAUCAAGAAGGAUCUAAUGGGAUUUUUUUACCCAAAAUAAUAUUAGGGUUCUAACAGCAUCAUGGCAUCACCAGCAUCAUCCUGUAGAUCUUUUAUUUGGUAUCUGUAGCUGCUUUUGGACCUUCUGCUGCGUUAAUAUUGCUCUAAAGAGGAGAAAAGGGCCAAAAGGCCCAUUUUUAGGAGAUGGGAGGGGACAAAAUUAGUGAGAGGACUUUGAGGUACAGAAGGAGGUCAACCAUUGUUGUUGGAGCAAAGAAGCAGAGGUGCAUCCCUAGAAAAAAGCAGAAGACUGAAUACAGACCUUGGGCAGAUCUUCACGAAGACAUGUUGAGGAUUAUCAAGAGCAAGUUAUGCCUUUCUGAUCAAGUAAGGCUUAGUGCAGUUUGUAAAAGUUGGCAGCUUUCUGGGAGACCGCUGAUGGCAAUGGCCUAUUUCUCUAAGCAUUGCUAUUCUGCAAUCUCGCCGGAUCCAUGGGAUGACUCAUCUGAUCGAGAUGUUACCUUUGCAUGCGAGAUUUAUGACUCUUGUGGUGGAAAGAUUCACAAGGCUAGUUAUAAUAUAUCAGAAAGAGGUUGGCCUUCUUUUUUCUACCGAUGGCCAGAGGUUUGUGCUUCCAAAGAGGGCUGGUUGCUUAUAGUGGACUGUGCACACACUGCUGGAACUGUCACCUUUUGUAACCCUUUUUCCAACCUUGUUUUAUCAGUACCCAGAUUGGGACAUCAGAUAGAUGUGGCAACUUUCUCUACAAUCCCUACUUCGUCGAACUGCAUAAUCUUUGUUUUCUAUCGUAGUUGGGGCAAGACACACCUUGGUACUUACCGUUUUGGUGAUAAAAGUUGGACCAAACUAAUAAUUGCCGAGAGAAAAGCUGCAGCAGAAGUAUUGAGCAUGUUAUACAUCGAGGGGGUACUCUAUUAUGUUUUUGAGGAUGGAAUGUUGGGCUGCUUUAGUUAUUCCGGGAAAUAUUGCAGUGUACUUACUGAAAGGUUUCCCAAACGCGAUUCUAAAAGCUCCUUUGUUAGCUAUCACCUGGUUGAACACAGGGAACAGAUUCUCUUGGCAACCGCAGAUGAGGACGCCAAUUGGUGUAUUUUCAGAUAUGAUGAGUCUCAGAUGAAAUGGAUUGCUGGGAUAAGCUUAGGAAAGUGGGCAUUAUGCGUAAGUAGUAAUUCGUUUGUAGUACAAGCUGUUGGGGAUCAAGUUGACCUUGCAGACUGUAUUUGCUACUUUGACUAUGAAACCCAUGAUUUGAAGGUGUACUCGUUAAAGGAUAAGCAAUUGAAGGAUCCGCAGCAUAAAAUACUGACAUCUAGCGGUACUUUCGACCUCAAACAUGACCUUACAAUCUGGAUUGAACCUCCUAAUAUUUGAAAGGGAAUGACCAUGUAAGCUUGCUAAUAUUUGGAAGGGACAGUUUAGUUGCUUUAGUUCUCAUAGACAACAAUUUGGUGGAUCCUUAUAAAAUUUCAGUAUCAAGCCCUUUGGUUGAGGAUAAUUUAAGAAUUUUUCAUUUACUAUGGUGACUUUGUUAUAAAAUGGAUAUCCAGUACAGACUGAGGUGGGAAUAGGAUAUUGCCUGCAAAUGACUCAAAGCCAUUUCGGUUUUCUCAUUGCCAGAAACAUGUGAAAGAGGGGAUCUGAUGUUUGUAUUCAGGGGUUAGAUGAUAUAGUAUAUUGCAUCAAAAGUUGGGCUACUCAGACCAGUGCUGCUGGUUAGUGGUUACUUGAAAUGUUUGUCUUGUAAAUAACGAUCUCAAAAAUUUGUUAUUCAUAUCCUUGGCAAAUUCUCAUUACUGGACUUAAACGUUGACUGGUACUUUUGUCUUUCCUACCUUUGUUUUCUUCAGCUGUCCCUGCAUGUUAACUUGCUUCUGAUGCAGUGAUAAAACAAUCGGAGAAACUACCCUGAAAAAGAAAGAGGGUUUGAAUUAGUGACCCUAUAACGCUUCCAAAGCCCCACCUAAAGGCGUGAACUCUACCCUGUAGGAUCGCGUACUGAUUUGCCAGAUUAGUAACCACGCCUUCAGUUUACUCAAAAUAACAUGUUCUUAGCGCACCAAGUUGACCUAUCUGAGGUUCAGUUGAUUGACUUCAAUUAGGAUACACAUUUCAAAACAAUUUUGGUUAAGAUUUUGGGGGGGGGGGGGGGGGGGGGUUUGCCAUUCGGAGUUAUGCAAGAGUACAAUAUUUUGUGUACUUCUGAUUUCAACUGCUUUUUGUUAAUCACUCUAUACCUCAGAUAUUUGCUAAACACACUCAAACCUAAUGCAUUAGCUGAUAAAUGACUGUUAACUUUUCCUGUUGGAGACUGUGGGAGUGUAGGGUAAUUUUGUGAGUGAUUCAAAUAUGUCAGUUUACAUGAAAACUAUCAUCUAGUAUCAAACUAGUCCCAUGACAGUAAUUUAAGCUGAUACCAAGCACAUGUUCAAGUGGUAGAUUGAAACAAACAAAAUACAUAUUUCCACAGGCUUCUUAGCAUAUCAUCAGAUAUGCUUAAACAGGGCAGAAAUUCUUGGAAUUGUUGGCUUGAUCUUUUCUGUCAACCUGAAAAUGGCUGUAUUU